GUGCUCUGUCUCUCUCUCUCUCUCUCUUUUUCUCUCUUUCUCGAGACGACCGACAACGAUGCGUGAAUUCAGUCUCGAGAAGCGCCGUCGGAAUCAAGGCGUUCGAGGAGAAGAACGUGCGAAGAAUUCUUUCUCAGCGCCAACGCUAAUUUAUGAGCCGUACCGUUACCGCGCGCAAUUAAGGAGGUUGUUGAAAAAAGGGCGCAUCUCGUGUCCUACGUAGCCGUGGACGCGCGGUCGUCUCUUGAAAAGCCAUCUCCGAUAUAUUACCGUGAGAAGAGAACACGGAGGGACCACACGAAAACUCACGGUUCCAUCAAAGAGACCCGCGAGAGUAUACCACGAUUUACAAAAUUUCACUAAAAAAAAAAUCGAAAUAACUCGAAUUAAACAAAUUGAAUUUCAGAGUUAUGCAUGGCAAACUGACUUUACUUCUUUCGACAAAAUUUUAUCACAAUUAAGGACAAACUUGGAAUUACGAAUGCGUAAUGGAAAUGCGAACUUGGAAAUGCAUAUUAAAUAUGUCUGUCUAAUCAUGUGUGUCAAUUAACCAACUUACAAUUAUUUAUCAAAAUAAUAUUAAAUUUGUAAAAUAAGUUUUGUACAAUUUGAUUCAAUUGCAAUACGACUUUGCAACGAAAUAUACGUGACCCUUGGUUUCUUUUAUCCGCUUA